rnacentral:rRNA from 1 species
AAAGAAACUAACAAGGAUUCCCCUAGUAGCGGCGAGCGAAGCGGGAAGAGCUCAAAUUUAUAAUCUGGCACCUUCGGUGUCCGAGUUGUAAUCUCUAGAAAUGUUUUCCGCGUUGGACCGCACACAAGUCUGUUGGAAUACAGCGGCAUAGUGGUGAGACCCCCGUAUAUGGUGCGGACGCCCAGCGCUUUGUGAUACAUUUUCGAAGAGUCGAGUUGUUUGGGAAUGCAGCUCAAAUUGGGUGGUAAAUUCCAUCUAAAGCUAAAUAUUGGCGAGAGACCGAUAGCGAACAAGUACCGUGAGGGAAAGAUGAAAAGCACUUUGGAAAGAGAGUUAACAGUACGUGAAAUUGUUGGAAGGGAAACGCUUGAAGUCAGACUUGCUUGCCGAGCAAUCGGUUUGCAGGCCAGCAUCAGUUUUCCGGGAUGGAUAAUGGUAGAGAGAAGGUAGCAGUUUCGGCUGUGUUAUAGCUCUCUGCUGGAUACAUCUUGGGGGACUGAGGAACGCAGUGUGCCUUUGGCGGGGGUUUCGACCUCUUCACACUUAGGAUGCUGGUGGAAUGGCUUUAAACGAC